AAAUUUGGCUCAGACCUAUCAUUUACAUCCUCACAGAAUUCAGAAAAGGAUUGGCUCAAUGAUAAUUCGAUCAUUGCCAG
ensembl:ncRNA T19B4.9 ncRNA